CGCAAGUGGGAGCCCUGCACAGAUGAGCUCUGAAGGCUGUGGUGGCCUCGGAGCUGGUGACCUGUGUGGCAGACCGAGGACAAGUCCCAGAUGAUGACCUGGGAUGCAGCCGGCCUGCCAGCUCGACUUCCUCUGGACCGAUCCCUACACUGAAACCCGCAGACUCUAAGCUCAAGUGGAUGACAUCGUGCACUCCCAGAAGUCUAGGAGGCCGGAAAUGAGAACACAGGCAGCCAGGUCCCUGCAAGGAGCAGCUCAAGUAGAAUCGGGGAAGGUUCCCGAAUGGGGAAUGAAUUGUGAAAAACAAGAAGACCUCCAGCAAGCAGACAUGCCUGGGUUCCUGUGAGCUGCCCAUUCCGCUGCCCUCAGAGUUCACAGGUGAGGGAGAUUCAGCUCAGAGAGGAUACUUGGUUAACUACAGGGAUGCAACUAAGCAGGAUCUGAACCCAGACCCCUGCUUUCCUUGGCCUGAUCUCCAGCCCUCAGGCAGCUGUUUCCAUUUCUGGAAUCCAUGAGGAACACUGGACGGGGGGGUCCAUCUGAAGGCGAGUGAGUCAGCCUGUGUUAGAAGUAAGACUGGGAUGGGGCUAGCCAAGGGCACCUGUAACUCCAGCACUUGGGAGGCUGAAGCAAGAGAAGGCCUGUGAAUCUGAGGCCAGUCUGGGCUUAUGGUGAGGCUUUCCCAGCUACACAUGGGAACUAACAACAGCGGCCGCCAUGGAUUAUUCUGAGGAGUAGUUGGCUCAUCACAAGGCACCAAACAUCACCUAGCCACCGUGGAUAUGGCCAAGCCACAGAGGUGCCACCGUUCUAGAAACGGUGGCUCUUGGGGGAGCUGGGUCAGGAUUUCAACCUGGGCACUCUGAUUCCAGAGGCCGCUCAUCUUCUGAACCGCCCCCGCACCUCCCUGCGGCUCCCACUAGAACAAGGACAGCAAAGAAGACUGAAGGAGAGGAGACACCAGGGCCAAGGACGCAGAUUUUCCAUCCAGUUCAAAAGAAGCCAGCCUGGGAUAACUGGCGUCCAUGGGGGGUGUUUGGUUCUUCAUCAACUCUUAACGGACACAUUUUAAAUAUCGGAUAAUACAUUUUUAAAGCACAGCAGGUUCCCAUAACCCAGCAAGAGCAACUCCAGAGAGGCCCGAGGAAGCCCUGGAAUAAAAUCGUAGCUAACCUUGAUGUCUAUCGCUAGGGGACUGGCU
ensembl:processed_transcript 4631405J19Rik RIKEN cDNA 4631405J19 gene